GCCGUGAGGUGUCGGGUUAAGUCCCAUUAACGAGCGCAACCCCUACUGCUAGUUGCCAGCGGGUCAUGCCGGGGACUCUAGCGGAACUGCCAGCGUAAGCUGCGAGGAAGGUGGGGAUGACGUCAAAUCAGCACGGCCCUUACGUCCAGGGCUACACACGUGUUACAAUGGCCGGUACAGAGGGCAGCCACCCCGCGAGGGGGCGCGAAUCCCGAAAGCCGGUCCCAGUUCGGAUCGGAGUCUGCAACCCGACUCCGUGAAGCUGGAUUCGCUAGUAAUCGCGCAUCAGCCACGGCGCGGUGAAUACGUUCCCGGGCCUU
rnacentral:rRNA from 1 species